rnacentral:rRNA from 1 species
UACGUAGGGGGCAAGCGUUGUCCGGAGUUACUGGGCGUAAAGCGCACGUAGGCGGCUUUGUAAGUAAGAGGUGAAAGCCCAGAGCUCAACUCUGGAAUUGCCUUUUAGACUGCAUCGCUUGAAUCAUGGAGAGGUCAGUGGAAUUCCGAGUGUAGAGGUGAAAUUCGUAGAUAUUCGGAAGAACACCAGUGGCGAAGGCGGCUGACUGGACAUGUAUUGACGCUGAGGUGCGAAGCGUGGGGAGCAAAACAGG